rnacentral:rRNA from 1 species
CAGCCGCCGCGGUAAUACCGGCGGCCCGAGUGGCGGUCACUAUUAUUGGGCUUAAAGCGUCCGUAGCCGGGUUGGGAAGUCCUCCGGGAAAUCUGGCCGCUUAACGGUCAGAAUUCCGGGAGAUACUCCCAGCCUAGGGAGCGGGAGAGGCCGAGGGGAUUCCCGGAGUAGGGGUGGAAUCCUAUAAUCCCGGGAGGACCACCUGUGGCGAAGGCGCUCGGCUGGAACGCGUCCGACGGUGAGGGACGAAGGCCAGGGGAGCAAACCGGAUUCGAUACCCGGGUAGUCCUGGCUGUAAACGAUGCGGACUUUGUGUCGGACAAGCUAUGAGCUUGUCCGGUGCCGGAGGGAAACCGUUAAGUCCGCCGCCUGGGGAGUACGGCCGCAAGGCUGAAACUUAAAGGAAUUGGCGGG